AUACGGAGGGUGCAAGCGUUACUCGGAAUCACUGGGCGUAAAGCGCGCGCAAGCGGUCUUUUAAGUUGGAUGUGAAAGCCUACGGCUCAACCGUAGAACUGCAUCCAAAACUAUUAGACUAGAGUGUGGGAGAGGAAGAUGGAAUUAGUUGUGUAGGGGUAAAAUCCGUAGAGAUAACUAGGAAUACCAAAAGCGAAGGCAAUCUUCUGGAACACUACUGACGCUGAGGCGCGAAAGCGUGGGGAGCAAACAGGAUUAGAAACCCCAGUAGUCC
rnacentral:rRNA from 1 species